UAAAUGGUGCAUUAAUGUCACCAUCGUUGAAAGUAUUACUUUAGCUGAUUAACACCAUCAUAGCAAGAAAUGGAAGGGAGAGACUCCAACUACAAUUUGUAUACAAUAUCUUUAUUGACACAAGAUAAUUGGCUAUAACAAAACAUUAUGGAGUUAAACGCUUCAAUGGAAACUACACUAAACGGUCAACGGGAACAAUCGUUAUGCCAAAAGAGCCUAAAAACCUGACGAAAAUGGCCAUUGGACAAAAUGAGAAACUUUCUUGAAGAAAAUAAUAACUUCACCUUUUGAAACAGGAUCAAGCAAAAAUCCAAUUCAAAAUACUGGUAUGAGCAGCAUCGUCAUAUUUAGGGCUAAGGUGUAACCAAAAUAUGAUCACCUACUUUGCAGGUUUGCAGUCUAUCGCAAACAAUAAAAACCUGAAAUAAAUAAUUCUAUUAUCAAGAUCUAAAAAACUUAUACUUCCGACGCUGAAGAUGAUGAAAGAAGAGCUUCCUCAGACCUGUAGAAAAUGUUGAAAAAAAUCGUUGAAUACUUUUAUUUUUAAAAAAUACUGGCACGCACGAACCUAUUUCUGCAGAAAAUACUAUAUAAAUUCUGUUUUAUAUACAAAAUAAAUUAUCUACCAGACUUAAUAAUAUCUAGGUCGAAUUAAAUGAG